GGGAAUCACCCGCUCCCAAGGCUGUCCAGGAAAUGUGCCAUUUCUGGUGGUGUGAUCUUUCCUGUAUGAUCAGUGACAUCUCAUCUUCCCUAUGUUUGCAUGGAAUCUUCUGGAAGAUUUUGGCAUUGAACAACCAUGGCCAACAGCACGGCGACUCCUGCGGGAAUGAAGCUCAUCUAACACACGUGUUUUCUCCACAAAGCACAGCACAGCCUUCCUGUGCUUAGAAACAC